rnacentral:rRNA from 1 species
GACGUAGGGGGCCAGCGUUGCUCGGAAUUACUGGGCGUAAAGGGUUCGUAGGCGGUGUGGCAAGUCGGGAGUGAAAUCUCUGGGCUUAACUCAGAGGCUGCUUCCGAAACUGCCGUGCUAGAGUGCGGGAGAGGCGAGUGGAAUUGCAGGUGUAGCGGUGAAAUGCGUAGAUAUCUGCAGGAACACCCGUGGCGAAGGCGGCUCGUUGGACCGCAACUGACGCUGAGGAACGAAAGCGUGGGGAGCAAACAGG